rnacentral:rRNA from 1 species
AGAACGAACGCUGGCGGCAUGCCUAACACAUGCAAGUCGAACGAGACCUUCGGGUCUAGUGGCGCACGGGUGCGUAACGCGUGGGAAUCUACCCUUGGGUUCGGAAUAACAGUUGGAAACGACUGCUAAUACCGGAUGAUGACGUAAGUCCAAAGAUUUAUCGCCCAGGGAUGAGCCCGCGUAGGAUUAGCUAGUUGGUAAGGUAAAGGCUCACCAAGGCGACGAUCCUUAGCUGGCCUGA